UGGGGAAUAUUGCACAAUGGGCGAAAGCCUGAUGCAGCAACGCCGCGUGAGUGAUGAAGGCCUUCGGGUUGUAAAGCUCUGUCUUUUGGGACGAUAAUGACGGUACCAAAGGAGGAAGCCACGGCUAACUACGUGCCAGCAGCCGCGGUAAUACGUAGGUGGCAAGCGUUGUCCGGAUUUACUGGGCGUAAAGGGUGCGUAGGCGGAUUUUUAAGUGAGAUGUGAAAACCCUAAGCUUAACUUGGGGACUGCAUUUCAUACUGGAAAUCUAGAGUGCGGGAGAGGAGAAUGGAAUUCCUAGUGUAGCGGUGAAAUGCGUAGAGAUUAGGAAGAACACCAGUGGCGAAGGCGAUUCUCUGGACCGUAACUGACGCUGAGGCAUGAAAGCGUGGGUAGCAAACAGGAUUAGAUACCCUGGUAGUCCACGCCGUAAACGAUGAGUACUAGGUGUAGGAGGUAUCGACCCCUUCUGUGCCGCAGUUAACACAAUAAGUACUCCGCCUGGGAAGUACGAUCGCAAGAUUAAAACUUAAAGGAAUUGACGGGGUCAUAGCUGUUUCCU
rnacentral:rRNA from 1 species